UUGCUUCGGCAGCACAGAUACUAAAUUUGGAAUGACAGAGAGAAAAUGAGCAUGGCUCCUGAGAAAGGAUGACAUGCAAAUUAGUGAAGCUACAGAUAGUUAU